UGGCCAGGUUAUGUGCCACGUUGCUGAUGUCCACCCUGACCAAUUUGAGCGCAGGAAGCAAAGCUGAGAAUCGAUGCCCACCCAGCUCCGGCUUCUCCGGCGAGGCUACCGAGCCGCCGCCGCCGCCGCCGCCGUCGCGGCGUCCAAGGCAGGGGCGAGGAGGAAGGUUCUUGAUGGAACCCCCGCGGCGCUCGGCUUCCGGAUGCCGGCUGAGUGGGAGCCGCACGACCAGUGCUGGAUUGGGUGGCCGGACGCUCAAGGAUUUUGGAGAGAUGCGGCUGCCCCUGCUCAAAAAGCCUUUGCAAAUGUUGUAGAUGCAAUCUCAAGGUUUGAGCCAGUAACUGUAUGCUGUAACGCUACCCAGUACGCGAGGGUAGUCCAUUUGAUGGAACAUAAAUCCAAUGUUAGAGUGGUAGAGAUGAGCGCUUGUCUUGUUUGGUUGCGUGAUUUGGGCCCCAGUGUAAGAAUUCUCCUCUCUGUUUUAUGGAGGAAAUCGCUGUACUCACUGGAAUUGGCUUUGUUGACCCACUAUUUAUUCUAUCAUCAGUUUGUCGUGCGUGAAGGCGACACAAGAUUGAGGAGAGAAAUUGCAGGGGUGGAUUGGCAGUACAAUGCAUAUGGAGGUUAUAAUGGUUUAUUUGGGCCAGAAGAUCAUCAGCUCAAUAGGAGAAAAGGACAUGAAGAACAUAUAACUGAAGACAACCUUGUUGCCAGGAAGGUUUUGGAAUUGGAGAGGAUUCCAAGGUUUGAAACCAAUUUUGUUCUUGAAGGUGGAAGCAUUCAUGUCGACGGAGAAGGAACCUGUAUCACCACUGAGCAGUGUUUAUGCCAUGGGAACAGAAAUCCCCACAUGAGUAAGGAUGAGAUAGAGAACCAGCUGAAGACUCAUCUUGGUGUGUCGAAGGUCAUAUGGUUACCCAAAGGGCUUUACGGGGAUGAAAUGAUCAGUGGGCAUGUUGACAACAUAUGCUGCUUUACUGGUCCAUCCACUGUUCUCUUAUCAUGGAUCGACGACAAAUCUGAUCCUCAGUAUGAGCAUUCAGCUGCCGCAUUCGACGUUCUGUCCAAUACCACUGAUGCCAAGGGCCGGAAGUUAGAUAUUAUCAAGAUUCAUGUCCCUGGGCCACUGUACAUGACUGAAGAAGUAGCACAACCAUUUCUAGGCUCGGUGGCAUUAGGGCAGCAGAGGUUAGCUGGAUCGUAUGUGAACUUCUACAUCGCCAAUGGUGGGGUUGUAGCACCAGCCUUUGGUGACAAGUGGGAUGAAGAAGCACGCAAAAUUUUGGAGAAAGUGUUUCCCAAACACGAGGUAGUGAUGGUGGAAGGGGGGAGGGAGAUUGUCCUCGGAGGAGGAAACAUUCAUUGCGCGACGCAGCAGCAACCUGCCGUUUGCCCCCAUCCCUCUGAUGCGGACACCAUGGAGGGUCAGGGUUGAGGGAAGGGGCGAGAAGCUGGCACCAUGAUGGACAGGCAAAAGAAAAGGAGAGGGGAAAAAUACCAGCAUAUACGGUGGUAAUGUUGCCCACUUGAAGAUAGACGAUUUAUGCCUGUCUCGUGGUCUCAGGGAUCAGGGAUCAACAAAUCCUAUAGAAGUCUGCAAACUGAACGAAGCACACGCAAAAGAUCAAGUGUUUCUCUCUUCUUCUUGUUUGCACAAAUCUCUUCUAGGCGCUGACUGGGCAGAGAACGCUGAGUAGACCAGGAUCGCAACCCCCAACAAACCCCAAUCUCCAUUCUCCGCCUUUCUUUCCUUUCUUGACCAGCAGCUCCGGCGCCAGGGCCGGCCGGGAGGCUGCUGCGGCGACCUCCACUCACGCCGCGCAGCCGGUGGUGGCAAAGGCGGCGCUCGUUGGGAGCACUCCGCGCGCGGCCAGGCCGACGUGCGCCUCCGCGCAGAAGAGCGGCGGCGGGGGCUGCGAGGGGCACCGCGCAUGCCGGUACGCCUACUGCUCCUUCAAGGGCCACGCGCCCGCGGCGCCGCCGCUGGGGGCCUUCCUGGCGUCCCGGAGCAGAGCAUGAAGCACAGGGGUGUCUCCGCGUUCCGCAACCCCAAGACCAAUCCCAAUCCCAGCAGCAAUGUCGCCGGCAAAGGGGACGACGGGUUCUUCGUCCAGGUGGCGUGUCCCGGCGACGGCGCCCGCCCGAAGACGGCGAGCUCGGGCUCCUGCUGCAGCGGCCUCUCCGCCGAGGAGGUGGAGUCUCCCUACGUCAACUUCGGUCGCCGGAGUCUCCGGGGCGGGACGGACAAGUGGGCCGACCCGGGCGCCUCGGUGGACGGCUCCUGCGGGUCCAGCGAUGUUGUGUAUCGACUGAAGGAACGACGCCAGCUUGUCGAAGAACAAAAUGUUGGAUGCGUAUGUGUGUGAUUUGGAAGUCAAGCAUCGUGGAGAAGUUGAUGUCUUGAAGAAUAAGAUUCAGAAACUGCAGUUCUUCUUUGUGCUUGCUCUGUUCUGCUUUGUCAUUUCACACUCUUGGAAAUGAUUGUCGUGAAGAAGAAGAGGAAGAAGAAGAAGAAGAAGAAGCUAGUUUGUGAAGGAGUCAUUUAUGUAUGCUGUUUUGCUUUGUAAGCUUUUAACCAAGCAUUCAGAAUGUAUGCUGUUAAAAGGAUUCAGAAUUUGUACUGUAUCUUCUUAUGCAAAAUUCAGAAUUUGGUACAAUGCCUCUUGCAAGUGUUAUGAAAAGAUUCAGAAUUUGGUACAA